rnacentral:lncRNA from 1 species
CUCAGACCUCAGAUUUCAAUGCUUAGGCAGGUGAUCACCUCAAUACACGGCUACUAAGAAGAGACACACCAGAAAAUAAAACCUAGGGUACAAUACAAAGUUAAAAUUGUAUCAAGAAAUCAAUUUUUAUGAUUCAAAUAUUUUCUCAAACAUGCUUGUACCCUUAGAGAAUAAAAUUGCUGAUUCUAUAGAGUAACCUAAUUUUUAUGAGAUUUCCCCUUAGAGCUAAAAUCCCAGUUAUAAUGUAGAAAAGGAUAUUACUUAUUAAAAAUGUUCCAAUAUCAAAAGCACAGAAGGUGAGCUCUGUGUAUAGGCAGCACAUCUGUAUCUACAUCUAUAUCUACAUCUCUCUGCACCUUGUCAUUGAGUGUGCUCCUGUCGAACCCAAAUGCCGUUGCUGUCACGCCAUUGGAGCAAGGGUUUCCCCUUAAAGACUGAUUUUGAAACAAAAUGAAAGACAAUCAAGAAACCAAGAGGGUCAGCAGCACAGAGAGCUGAGACAGGUGUUUAGCCUUGGAACUCCUACAGGUUAACGGACCGGGAAGCAGGAACUGCUAAUAUUAAGGAUUACAGAGUGCCAGAUCAAAAGAACGGAGGCAUUACAGCUCACAGCCGUCUCUCAAUCAAAAGAACGGAGGCAUUACAGCUCACAGCCGUCUCUCAAUCAAAAGAACGGAGGCAUUACAGCUCACAGCCGUCUCUCAGAGAGCAUUAUUAUUCAUUUGGGACCCAGACUUCAAGAAGAUGCCCCACACGGCACCUGCUUGUAGAAUGUGUAAUUUAACAGGAGACAGUGUUAUGAGAAAGAAAUUACAAAGUUGUACUGUAGCCCCAGGUAAUCUUAUUAAUCUUUUUGACCUUUCUUUUGCUAUCGGACUGGUUGUUUCUAAUAGAAAGAUACCAUUAUCAUUCUUUAUUGAAGUAGGAAGUAGGAAAAACACGAACAGCAAUGAGGUGGUUUUUAACGUGUGACACUAAUGGACAGUGUACCCAGGCAGGUGACACUGUGGUCACUCAAGUAGAUAAUUCAUGUGUUUACUUCAUUCCUGCCCUUCUCUUUCUAAUGGCAACAAAAUUCUAGAAUCUGACAGAGGAGUCUUAUUUAGCAGAUUUAGUGACUUUGAGGAAAAAAUACAAGUCAUUAGUAAAGUAGUCUUUGUUUGAAAGGAAGACUUUAUAGUCAUUAAUUUCCUUGAGAGGUCAGAGAGAUGGUGUGACAUUCCUGGAGGGCUUCAGGUGCAUCACAGAGGGGUCCGCAUAUCUCCUUUAGGUUCCUCUAAGAUGGUCUUCUCCUUUGGGGGAGUGUCACUUCUCUGCUGCAGCAUGUAGCAGAUUUCCCAUCGCGUCUGAAAACUGAAGCUUUGUGAAGACGUUCUGGGCAGCAGAGCUCCUAAUGCCGCUUUCCUGGAAGGGGUUCGUGGUUCAUGAAUUAAGAGUGAGAAAAGGGACAGAGGGGCAACAACUGCUUUAAUAAGUGUUCUUAAAUCUCUGUUAGUUUGAAGAUCUCUUUGGUAAUGUUUUAAAAUGUGUCCUGUUACUGUUCUCGUUCUCUUCCCUCCUACCCAUUUGCUAUAUGACAACACACUGGACAUUACCAGCAAGAAUGUACCUAAGGGCACACAUGGGUACAGAGAUGGGGCUGAAGGGCAUCGCAUGGUACUUCCUGGAGAAUGGCAUGGGUGAAUGAGGUUAGGAGUCUAUCUAACCACAUGUUGCUUCGUAGGCAAGGGGCUGGCUAUGUAGAGUUUUGGGUAGGUCCCCCCCCCAAAAAAAGUUACUGGACCAUAGCCACACCCAUUGAUUUAUAAUAUGUAUUAUAUUGAUUUAUUAUAUAUUCAAUUAAUAGCAAUGAAAUAUAAUAUAAAUAGUCUGUGGCUAUUUGGGGUUCAAGGGGCAAAGUGAGCAGGGUGACAAGGAUUAUAUGAUCCCAAUAGGCUAAAAUACUUUAUUUUAAAAAUUUGAGCUCAUUUUUCCAUUGGUAUACGAACUUCUAGAAUGACUUCUAAACUGAAAACAGAUAUUAAGUAAACAAUGCACCAGUGUGAUUUAUAAUUAUGACAUUGUACAGUAGAUCAUGGUAUCCUUAUUGUGGGACAUACAGUAAACAAGUGAUCUGCCCUUCUAAUAGGCUUUUAAGUGCAUGGUGUUUUAUGGUUGACUUGAGUUCAAUGCUUUAUGACAGAUCUCAAAAUCUGAUCCCAUCCUGCUUGACUGGAGCUGCUUGCCCAUGGAUUGACAGCUCUCACAUGGCCUUCCCCUUUCCCACCCCUAUCCCUCAGAUAUUGCAAAAAACAUUCUGUUUUUUGAUUCAGUGAGUCUGGCUACUUUGCAUACUUUAUGUAAGGGGCAUCACGAAGCACAGCUGAUUUUCUGUGACUGGCAUAUUUCACUUAGAAUAUCUUCACGUGUCAUGUACAUUUUUUCCCCUGACUGGUGGUGGUGGUGGUGGGGGGUCCUUUUUCAAGGCUGAAUAGCAUUUCGCCAUUCUGUCAUACCACAUUUUCUCUAUCCAUUCACUCAAUGAUGGUGAGUCCAGGUCAUUUUCACACAUUAGCUAUUAUGAAUAGUGUUUCAGUAAAUGAAAACAGCAAUGUGAUAUCACUUCAUACCUGUCAAGAUGGCUAUUAUUAAAAUAAAAGUCAGCAAGGGUUGGUGCUUUAUAACACAGGGGAGAACUGCAAAGCCCAGAACCCAUCAAUGAUUGCAUUAGAAGUCUGCCAAUCUCUUGUCUUCCCUUCUGCUGAUGUGGUCGAUGAUGAAGUUUAGAAGCAAGACUCUGCUGAAAAGCAGAUUUGCCUCACGUGAAAGCCAGUGUAAUACCUACCCAAAGAUGAGCUGACUCCUUAUCUGACAUCAGGCUGAGGCAGGAGACUGCCUUGAAAUCUCUCAGUGGGCCUAACCGAUAACUUGAGGCUAUGAGCUGACAAGAGUUUCAAGUGGUGGUCAGAGAGUAAAGUGACCACAGAGGAAGGACUAUAGAGAUACAACAACAUGACUAGCUUGGAAGCUGGAGGGAGGGGGACCUGUGAGCCGGUGGGUGUGAGUGGCCUCUAGGGCUUGAAAAAUCCUUCCUAAGAGCUUCCCGAAAGACAUCUUCGGUUUAUUCCAGAAGCUUUCUCAGAAACCUUUCGACCUACAGAAUUUGUGGUUAAGAGUGCCACCGAAAAGCAACACAACAUAAACCAUCCAAAGAGAGAAAGCUGAAAGCUGAAAGCCCUUCUAGGCCAAUUUCAGAGCAGCAGAUCUGCGAAUCCACCCAUCCUGAGCCUGGCAGCCCCUCACUCACCAGCUCCUGGAGACGAAGGCUCGAACACACUGGAGGAGUCGCUGUAGGUGUUGGAAGCUUGCUCUGAAAGCUUCUUCUUACCACUUCCCUCUGACGACUUGUGCGACUUCUUCUUGUUUUUCACCAAGAUUUUAUACAUUAAAUCCAUAGGGCUUGGAAGAGGUACCCCAGAUUCCAGCUAUUUAAAAGAAAGCACAGCCUUUAAAAAUACUGUCCUUCCUUCCAGGCACCUCUCUAAUCCCACUGCUUUGGAUAGCACAGCCUCUAGAUUGGCAUCUACUAUAUUCAGCAUAGUUCACGAAAGCAUUCUAAUUGUGCCCUGCAUUUGUUUUAAAUAAAAGAUGCUUUUAAAU